rnacentral:rRNA from 1 species
UACGGAGGAUGCGAGCGUUAUCCGGAUUUAUUGGGUUUAAAGGGUGCGUAGGCGGACUGUCAAGUCAGCGGUAAAAUUGAGAGGCUCAACCUCUUCCCGCCGUUGAAACUGGUGGUCUUGAGUGGAUGAGAAGUACGCGGAAUGCGUGGUGUAGCGGUGAAUUGCAUAGAUAUCACGCAGAACUCCGAUUGCGAAGGCAGCGUACCGGCAUCCAACUGACGCUGAGGCACGAAAGCGUGGGGAUCAAACAGG